rnacentral:lncRNA from 1 species
CAUGUUUGUACAAAGUGAUAAUCAUUAAAUGUUAAAACUAUUAUAAAAUCUAAACAAUUUCAUCUAGAAAAGUGUCAUUCAUAUAUAAAACUGCGAACACGAAGGCGUUUUCCAAUAAACAGGUGACGUUUAAGUAGGCGUUUCCAACGUUUCAGUAGGAGAACACCUCCACAUGUACAUGCUCUGUAAAGGAAACGUUCUACAAGGGUCAACAUAUCUUAUGACAUAAGAACCAUUUUAAAACCAGGAAAAACUAAAACGAAUAGGCACACAAGAUCCCAUUAAACACUACAUAGAAAGACUGAGUAACAUGCACCCCACCAAAACAUCGGUGGUUAUCCUAGGUGUUUCGGAAGGGAAAACAGUUACUGUUCUAAGAAUGACACUCGUCGUAUUACGUAUCAUGAGUGUGAUAAAGUCACAAACUUUAUGUGAUAAGUUUAAUUCGAUGAAAUGACAAUCAAGAAACAGAGGACGGGAUUUCGUCAAAGACAUCAGGAACAUACCCGUGAUGUUCUGUGACACAGAUAUGUUAUAACAGACAACAAAAUCAUGAUGACGUCCGUAUAAUUUUCGAAGGGAUGCCUUCAACAAAACCUUUAGAAACCAUUUUUAAAUAGCUGUUUCAUGUGCAGCAACCAUUUACCAAGAGACAAUUAUGAUAAAAAACGAAAGAACUGUGAUAUUACGUCAACUAGGAGACAAAAACUCCAUAUGAAGGCGACACUAAUAUGUUGCUACAUAGAAAAGGAAUGCGCACAGAUAGAAAGCUGAUAUUGUCUCUUUUGUCGUACAUUUUUUGUUUUCAUUAUCAAUUUCUAUAUGUCAAUUAAGAUAUGAGUUAGACUUAUGUGUAUUUUUGGUAUUCCUUAUUUCAUAUUUGCUGGGAUCGAUGCACUCAACAAAGGCACCAAACUUUGCAUUAUCUAGUGGAGGGACGACAAAUUAAAAGGAUAAUUGUAGUUUUUUUUCUUUUUUCCAGAGAAGCCUCAGCGGAAUUGAAGAACACGUCGGCAAAGGAAGUAGUUCCCAUGGGAAUGCCGAUUGUCGGAUGAAAAACUCAUAUUCCAAACGUACCAAAUGUAUUGUCAUUAAAAAAAAACAUCUGAAUUAUGCAAGGUUCUACUAAAAGUUUUGAAUGGAAAUGGGGAAUUUGUCAAAGAGAAAACAACCCGACUAAAGUAUAGAAAACAAUAAUAGGCCACCAAUUUUCAACACAGCGAGAAAAUCCCGUACCUGGAGGCCUGCUUCAGCUAAACAAAAAUGUGUACUAGUUCAGUGACAAAGGACGUCAUACUUAACUCCGAAAUAUAUCAAUGAAUUAAAAUUGAAAAUCAAAUAAGACUGACAAAGGCCAGAGGCUCCUGACUCUGGACAGGCGCAAAAAAUGCAGCGGGGUUAAACAUGUUUUGUGAUAUAUCGACCCUCCACCUAUACCUUUAGCCAAUGUAAAGGUUUUGUUUUGUUUUGUUCAAUGUUUUUAAAGUAUCAUUUGUAUCCUUUCGUAACCCUAUAUUAUUGUAUCUGAAUUGGUCAUUUUUUCAAUAUCCAUAACGGGUAGAAGUCAGUUAAAAAACAAAAUUUACAAGAGAAAAGAGACAUACUCAAUUUGCCCUCGCAGAUCUUGUAUUUUGUUUUAAAAUGGACUGUGCACAAAGUCCCACAAGAACGCGCCUUUACAGUUACUCUGAAGCUAAACUUUGAUUGCUAAUAACACAACCGGUGAAAUGGUUGCACGAUGCAAAUUUCAC